AUUGAACGCUGGCGGCAGGCUUAACACAUGCAAGUCGAGCGGGGUGAUGGUGCUUGCACUAUCACUUAGCGGCGGACGGGUGAGUAAUGCUUAGGGAUCUGCCUAUUAGUGGGGGACAACAUCUCGAAAGGGAUGCUAAUACCGCAUACGUCCUACGGGAGAAAGCAGGGGAUCACUUGUGACCUUGCGCUAAUAGAUGAGCCUAAGUCGGAUUAGCUAGUUGGUGGGGUAAAGGCCUACCAAGGCGACGAUCUGUAGCGGGUCUGAGAGGAUGAUCCGCCACACUGGGACUGGAACACGGCCCAGACGCCUACGGGAGGCAGCAGUGGGGAAUAUUGGACAAUGGGGGGAACCCUGAUCCAGCCAUGCCGCGUGUGUGAAGAAGGCCUUAUGGUUGUAAAGCACUUUAAGCGAGGAGGAGGCUCUUUUGGUUAAUACCCAAGAUGAGUGGACGUUACUCGCAGAAUAAGCACCGGCUAACUCUGUGCCAGCCGCCGCAGUAA
rnacentral:rRNA from 1 species